rnacentral:lncRNA from 1 species
GGUUUGAAAGGUCGACAAAAGCAAAUAAAAUCUCAUACUAGAACAUAAAUUCUUUCUAGGACAUUCUAGGACUCUUUUCUCGUACACUAGGUGUGGAUCUUCCGUGGUACUCCUCUCCAUCAGUCUCAAAGCUUCACGAAACAAAUCUGCCGAUGCUUCAUUGUCGCCCGUGACUAUUGUUCCGUAUGAAAAAGGCUACAAAGUUAUCAUACCCGUCAUGUACUUUGCUUGCGCCAAUGCCGACAUUACAGCUCCAACCCAUCUAUCACUGGGUUUCUCCUUUGCAAGCUAAAGAGCC